CAGAGAAAUUGUACCAUGGAUCCCGUAAAAAAAGGUUUUUAUUACCGAAGACACUGGCAGCAAGGGACUCAGGAAUUCGAUGCUUUAAUAUAAGCCAUAUCUUUCUUCUCAAGCAGUAAUGAAGGCAUCCAUCUCCUUAAAGAAUGCAGUCUGGAGCUGAUGGUCUGCUGAGAUGAGAAGGACUCAACACUGAAGCACACAGAUAGGAGGGGGUAGCAGCAGAAAAUGUGUUCUAUUUCCAGGACGAGGAGCGAUCAACAGCUUUAAUAGACAUCCUGCAACCUCAAGAAUCCCAGUCCCAUGGCCUCCGAGCCCCAGCUGAGACAGAGCUGAAUCAGCCGACUGCCACUUGCCUCCCA